AUAUCCUCCAAGAUUCCAAGAUAUCAUUCCAGGAAAUGCUGGGUAUUGAUGCUUGCAGGGGCAGUGCAGCAAUCACCAGCCUGACUGCAGAAGGACCUUGCCCACCUCUUCCAUCUCCUCCUUGCUAUUCCUCUUAAACACUGCCAGCACUGUUGCAGCUCACCCAGAAGCAGAUCCUGAAAUCACACUGUUCUUCCUGGUUUUGUACAGUGACCACGGCUCCUGCCACGGGAACCAGCCCCUCUGCUCAGAGCCACAGAAGGAGAUGUCUGCAAGGAGCAAGAGAUGG
rnacentral:lncRNA from 1 species